rnacentral:rRNA from 1 species
AUACGGAGGGGGCUAGCGUUGUUCGGAAUUACUGGGCGUAAAGCGUACGUAGGCGGACUGAUCAGUUGGGGGUGAAAUCCCAGGGCUUAACCCUGGAACUGCCUUCAAUACUGCCAGUCUUGAGAUUGGAAGAGGUGAGUGGAAUUCCUAGUGUAGAGGUGAAAUUCAUAGAUAUUAGGAGGAACACCAGUGGCGAAGGCGGCUCACUGGUCCAAUACUGACGCUGAGGUACGAAAGCGUGGGGAGCAAACAGGAUUAGAUACCCUAGUAGUCC